GGCCGCCAGUCAGCGCCACUGUCGGCCGGAACGUGGGCGCCACCGGCGCCACCCGAGGCGACCAGCCACUCCCUCUGGCGGGCGGAGGGCAGUCGGCGCAGGGAGACCCCCGGAGAAGCCAGCAGUCACCCACAGCUCCAGAAAACAUGGGCAAGGGCAAGCCGGAGAAGGGAGGAGCCGCCGCCGCCGAUGCUCCGGCCGAUGAUGCUAAGGUUGAGAAGAAGGCACCCGCCAAGCCCGCCAAGGAGGCUCCCGCCAAGGAGGCCAAGGGUGCCAAGAAAGGUGGCAAGAAGUGACCACGGGCGAUGACUGCGGAUGCCCUGUCUCCGCCCCAUCACUCAUUUCAUUAUUCCACACCUCGCUCGCGCCGCCUUUCACAUUGGAGAAGAGAUGCCUUCGCCAUCACCAGCCUGCGGAGAGCUCGGAGCCGGGAGGGCCGCGCUCCGGUGAAUACUCGGCGGCUGAGGGCGUGGAACGCCAUGCCUCUUGUGGUCUCCAGAUGACCCCUCUAGACAGGCUAGGUGACCGCGGGCCGCGGCGGCACCCUAAAGUAUUCGGUGGCACGGGUCCGCUGAUUGAGACCAGCGGUUCCCCCCUCGCCUGUGUUCCUGUGACGAGCUUCUGAGCCGAUUCCAAAUGCGUGUACAGUGGUGCUAAAUAAAUUAUGAUUGUGUUA
rnacentral:lncRNA from 1 species